GACGAACGCUGGCGGCGUGCUUAACACAUGCAAGUCGAACGGAAAGGCCCUGCUUUUGUGGGGUGCUCGAGUGGCGAACGGGUGAGUAACACGUGAGUAACCUGCCCUUGACUUUGGGAUAACUUCAGGAAACUGGGGCUAAUACCGGAUAGGAGCUCCUGCUGCAUGGUGGGGGUUGGAAAGUUUCGGCGGUUGGGGAUGGACUCGCGGCUUGUCAGCUUGUUGGUGGGGUAGUGGCUUACCAAGGCUUUGACGGGUAGCCGGCCUGAGAGGGUGACCGGCCACAUUGGGACUGGGAUACGGCCCGGACUCCUACGGGAGGCAGCAGUGGGGAAUAUUGCACAAUGGGCGGAAGCCUGAUGCAGCAACGCCGCGUGCGGGAUGACGGCCUUCGGGUUGUAAACCGCUUUCGCCUGUGACGAAGCGUGAGUGACGGUAAUGGGUAAAGAAGCACCGGCUAACUACGUG
rnacentral:rRNA from 1 species